GUGGGUAUAGCUCAGUGGUAGAGCGCAUGCUUAGCAUGCAUGAGGGAGGUCCUGGGUUUAAUCCUUAGUACCCACG
rnacentral:tRNA from 1 species